GAGCCCCAGCGCAACUGUGAUUCUGCCAGUUACAGCGAUCAUCAUAGCGAAAUGAAAAUGCUCCGAUUAUUUGUUUAUAAAUAAAACCGUUCCUCCUGGAAAAUGUGCCAGGAUGACAUUUUGUGAAGUCCUGUUUCCAGUCUUCGUGAAUUAAAAUUCUAGAUGGGAAACUACCAGACGGGAGAAGAUAAUUGAAAAGGAUAGUUCAAAGGACUUCUGACUUGUCCAAGAAGAGACGCAAUUCCAGGUUAAUCUUCAGAGUGAGUCAAAGCAACGAAUCGAAGGGCCGAGGAAUGUGUUUUUCGUUGAUGUCAACUUGCUGCAAAGGACCACACCUGCUUCUCGACCCAGGAACGUGGGAAAGGGAAAGGCAUGGCUUGUUUUGGUGGAGAUGGAGAUGCUGGUAACAGUGGAGGAAUGCCCUCCUUCUGAUUCACAGUGGGGAGGUGCUCUGGGCCCCUGCCACUGCCCAAGGACUUCAGCUUUUGGUUGUCCUGCUGAGAGGAUGCGGCAUUUGAGCAGUAGCUUCUGGAGCCCAGAGUGAAGCCCCACCCAGGCACCCUGACAGGACCACAGGAAUGCUCCCGGCACAGCAAGCAGGACUCUUGAGAAGCUCAGCCUCCACGCUCCUUGUAGAUGUUCAGUUCAAACUCCACAGUUUGUGUGACUCACUGAAGGGCUUGGUUUGGCUCUCGCUGACGAGUCUGUCAUCGGUGCCAGGAGCUGAGAACAGCCCCCUUCCUAUUUGAGGCUGGCCUGUCCAUGCGCACCCUUGGCCUCACAUCAGUGGAGGAUCACCCAUCCCUUCCUCGUGCUGGAAACCCAAUGGCUGUAUUCCAUAAGCCUGCAGGACUCUUGCUCUUCUCCUUAUUUAACUACACCAGCUUAGGAGUAGCCUACAUGCUCCAUCUUCAUUUCCUUACCCCAUCUACUCCACAGUCUACCAUUCUCUUGCUGAGGUUACUUACCUGGCCUCUUUCCUCUACACUCUUUUCCACACUCACUUGUCCAGGUGCACAUUAAUACCUACACCUGACUAUCCUACAGAUAACUCGAAUUCAAGAUGGUGGGGAAUAAACUCACCAUCUUACUCUA